UUUCUGUGUGUGAUUAAGUCCAAAAAUGCUAAACAGCCACUCCGAGGAGCAAAAGUUCUCUGCACACUCACAGAAGUAGUAAAAAACAUAAGGAUAAAGAAUGACCACCUUAAGGCUGAAUACUCACUACAAAGUCUAAAUCCAGCAGUGAAGAAAGGAGUCAUUCUUGAAGUAGGCCUCCACAGAAGUCUUCUGGCAUGCUCAUCUAGCGGGAAGAAGACACAGUCAUCUUGUCAAGAUGCUGUUCGCUCAACGAGUCCACAGCCCCAAGGCAACACUGAGCAAAUGCUGGCGAGGAGGUCUGACACUGCACUAUUUCUAGCUCACACCAAUGACUUCGACACAAGCAACAUGGCCCAACAAAACAGGUCCGGCCAUUCCAGUACUAAGUUUAUCAGUAAUAAUGUCAAAGCUCCACAAAACUUUUCUUCCCGUCACAAGUGCAAAAAGCCUAUGCCGGUAUGACCUUAGAUUGUUUUUAGCUCAUGAGUUAAGUUUGCCCAGUGCUGUCAUCUUCUAAUACAGAGCAUGAGCCGGACAGCAGGAAAUGACUGCAGAAGCCACAGCUGUUGCAGAGCCCAGUCUUCAUCUUCCAGCCAUGAGAACUACUCUAUUUCCUUCUUUGAUCAACAUGCCCAAUGACUAAAAACGGAUUGUGGCCCAAACCUGCUAAUAAUAAAGAAAUUUCCACCAUUCCCAUCACUA